rnacentral:rRNA from 1 species
GGCUCGAGUGGUGGCCACUAUUACUGGGGCUUAAAGCGUUCGUAGCUGGUUUGUUAAGUCUCUGGGGAAAUCUUCCGGCUUAACCGGAAGGCGUCUCAGGGAUACUGGCAGACUAGGGUCCGGAAGAGGUGAGAGGUACUCCAGGGGUAGGAGUGAAAUCCUGUAAUCCUUGGGGGACCACCUGUGGCGAAGGCGUCUCACCAGGACGGCUCCGACAGUGAGGGACGAAAGCUGGGGGAGCAAACCGGAUUAGAUACCCGGGUAGUCCCAGCCGUAAACGAUGUGCAUUAGGUGUAUCGGUGACCACGAGUCACCGAGGUGCCGAAGAGAAAUCGUGAAAUGCACCGCCUGGGAAGUACGGUCGCAAGGCUGAAACUAAAAGGAAUUGGCGGG